rnacentral:rRNA from 1 species
UUUUAGAAAUUAAUUUAAAGUCUAACCUGCCCACUGAAUAAUUUUAAAUGGCCGCAGUAUCCUAACUGUGCAAAGGUAGCAUAAUCAUUAGUCUUUUAAUUGAAGGCUGGAAUGAAUGGUUGGAUGAAAUAUUAACUGUUUCAUAAAAAUUUAUAAUAGAAUUUUAUUUUUUAGUCAAAAAGCUAAAAUAUUAUUAAAAGACGAGAAGACCCUAUAAAUCUUUAUAUUUAGAUAAUUUUAAUUAUUUAGAUAAAUUAAAUUAUAAUUAUUUUAAAUAUUUUAUUGGGGUGAUAUUAAAAUUUAAUAAACUUUUAAUUUAAAAUUAACAUAAAUUAAUGAAUUAUUGAUCCAUUUAUUAUGAUUAAAAAAUUAAGUUACUUUAGGGAUAACAGCGUAAUUUUUUUAGAGAGUUCAUAUUGAUAAAAA